rnacentral:rRNA from 1 species
UGUGUCUCUUCGGUAGACGGUAUGACAGGUGCUGCAUGGCUGUCGUCAGCUCGUGCCGUGAGGUGUUGGGUUAAGUCCGCAACGAGCGCAACCCCUAUCUUUAGUUGCCAUCAGUUCGGCUGGGCACUCUAUGGAGACUGCCACCUAAAGUGGAGGAAGGUGGGGAUGACGUCAAGUCAGCAUGGCCCUUACGUCCGGGGCUACACACGUGCUACAAUGGCCGGUACAAAGGGUUGCGAAGCCGUGAGGUGGAGCGAAUCUCAAAAAGCCGGCCUCAGUUCGGAUUGGAGGCUGCAACUCGCCUCCAUAAAGUCGGAAUCGCUAGUAACCGCAGAUCAGCUACGUUGCGGUGAAUACGUUCCCGGGCCUU